rnacentral:rRNA from 1 species
AUUGAACGCUGGCGGCAGGCCUAACACAUGCAAGUCGAGCGGAUGAAGGGAGCUUGCUCCUGGAUUCAGCGGCGGCCGGGUGAGUAAUGCCUAGGAAUCUGCCUGGUAGUGGGGGAUAACGUCCGGAAACGGGCGCUAAUCCCGCAUACGUACUGAGGGAGAAAGUGGGGGAUCUUCGGACCUCACGCUAUCAGAUGAGCCUAGGUCGGAUGGGCUAGUUGGUGGGGUAAAGGCCUACACAGGCGACGAUCCGUAACUGGUCUGAGAGGAUGAUCAGUCACACGGGAACUGAGAAACAGUCCAGACUCCUACGGGGAGCAGCAGUGGAGAAUAUUAGGCAAUGGGGGAAAGGCUGAUCCAGCCAUGCCGCGUGUGGGAAGAAGGACUUCGGAUUGUAAAGCACUUUAAGUUGGGAGGAAGGAAAGUAAGUUAAUACCUUACUGUAUUGACGGUACCAACAGAAUAAGCACCGGCUAACUUCGUG